rnacentral:lncRNA from 1 species
CGGGAAGGAGCGGCGGUUCUUCUCAGAACAGGAGAAAAACUGAAGAAAAACAGAAAAUAAUUCUUUUUCCUCGGUGUGGUGUGCUGAAAACAGUAGACAGCAAAAGGAGAUCUGACAUGCACUUGCAGAAAUCGCCAAAGGAGAAGUCGUGUUACACUCUGCCCACAGUGAAGAAACUCCUGGAGCAGAAGAGAAAGAGAGAGACUUCAUCUGUACCUCCGGCCUGCGCUUCUGCUGCUGCAUCCAGUACCGCUGGAGCCGUCGCGUCCGUACCAGUGUCAACAUCAGCUCCUUCUGCCAGCUCCAGCAGUAGCUAUUUAGACAUGGCAGCGAUGAGAUACGGCCGGUGGGAUACGGUGCCUCUACACCAGCAGCCGUGUGUUUCCUUCCAGACACUGGGGCUCAGUUACAUCCCCAACUCCCCCGCCCCUCACAGCUUUACCCCUGCCCCAGCCUACAGCCACAGCCUGCCCACCACGGAGACCCCAGCCACCAGCUACAGCCCACAUCAGCUCCAGGACUGUCAGGAUGGCCAGAUCCCGCAGCACUAUCCUGAUUGUCCUGUGACGGCAGCCCUGGCGGAUACCAGCGCUGCCACCGUUCAGAGCGGCUGCUACUCCUGGUCCAAUGAGCUCAGGACCCAGACCCCUGCAGCCGCCUGCGGCCUUCAGUACAAACACCAGCUGGACAUGGCCAAGCUGGAAGAGGCUCGGCAGUUCCUACAGGGCAUGGACUACAGCAGAACCACCUGGCAGGACGAUGACGGAGACACGUGAGUAAAAUAGUUAAAAUUUACUUCAUUUCUUAACCCUAUUUUCUUAAAUCU